rnacentral:rRNA from 1 species
CCUACGGGGAGCUGCAGUGGGGAAUAUUGGGCAAUGGGCGAAAGCCUGACCCAGCAACGCCGCGUGAAGGAAGAAGGCUUUCGGGUUGUAAACUUCUUUUGACAGGGAAGAGCAGAAGACGGUACCUGUCGAAUAAGCCACGGCUAACUACGUGCCAGCAGCCGCGGUAAUACGUAGGUGGCAAGCGUUGUCCGGAUUUACUGGGUGUAAAGGGAGCGCAGACGGCAGUGCAAGUCUGGAGUGAAAGCCCGGGGCCCAACCCCGGAACUGCUCUGGAAACUGUGCGGCUAGAGUACUGGAGGGGCAGGCGGAAUUCCUAGUGUAGCGGUGAAAUGCGUAGAUAUUAGGAGGAACACCAGUGGCGAAGGCGGCCUGCUGGACAGUAACUGACGUUGAGGCUCGAAAGCGUGGGGAGCAAACAGGAUUAGAUACCCUAGUAGUC